CCUAACCCGUAAGGGAGGGAGCCGUCGAAGGUAGGGUCGAUGAUUGGGGUG
rnacentral:rRNA from 1 species